CCGAGACCGCGGCGGAGCCCACGGUCCCUGCAGUGCCUGCUGCUGAGGAGGCCACCGAAGCUCGGGGACGCGAGGAGCCGGCGUGGCCCUGGAAAGACGCCCCGAUCCGGACGCUGGUGCAGCGCAUCCACCAGCUGCAGGCUGAGCGCGCGCAGGGCUUCCGCCGACUGGAGGAGUGAGUGGGGGUGCGGAGGGGCUCAGGGUUCAGUCCCCCGCCCGCUCCGGGCGUGGGCGUGCUCUCGGCGGGCGUGCCUGGAGGAGGAGCUGGGUCCUCGCGCGGCUGCAGAGUCAGAUGGGGCGGGGAUUUCGGGGCACCGGGUCCUCACCUUCACGAAAAAGGCCCCACAGCACGUCCCCACUACCCGACGACUCACUCCUCGUGGCUUCUCUCUCCUCCCCAAGAGCAGGGGUGGGCCUGUCUCGCGUUCUCCUGCGGGAGUCGGGAAGCGUCCUUCCUACCUAGCAGUCCUCCCCUCUGGGGUCCGGGGACACUUCCUGGGGGCCUUUCAGGUGGUUGGCGCGGGUGCAGGGCCUGAGAGCCUGGGGGCGCGGCCUCAGGGUCCCCACCUGCCGCAGAGGCCACCGCCAGUACCUGCGCAGCGGUCCUGACUACGACUUCGCGCGCUACCGGAGCACAGUGCACGAGGUGACCCAGGCCUUCGCCGCCGCCUCGCGGGAGGUGCUGGCGGUGGAAGCAGAGCUGGGCGGGCCUCGCAGGCAGCCGCUGCUCGCCGGCCACGUGCGCAGCCUGCAGGAGCUGGAGCAGACGCGGCUGGGCACGGUGGCCCUGCUGCAGCUGAUGGAGACGCCAGAGCUGGCGGGGCAGGAGGACGCUGUACGGAUGCACCAGCUGAAAAUGAAGGUAAUUAAAACCAUGGAGGCGAUCAGCGAGGUUCUGCAGGACCUCAGGUUUGAUGCGGAAUCUGCCGAGUGAUGGCGGCUCCCCAGGGAUGCGCCGAGGGAGAUGGGAAACGGGGCGGAUGGCACCCAGCCCAGCCCUAACCGCCAGCUGGCUGGGGUCGCGCCCCACUGCGCUGCUGACCUUCCUGCAGUUCGAGACACCUCCCACAAUAAAGAGCUC
rnacentral:sRNA from 1 species